AUGCACGCUGGCGGCGUGCCUAAUACAUGCAAGUCGAGCGAACGGACGAGAAGCUUGCUUCUCUGAUGUUAGCGGCGGACGGGUAAGUAACACGUGGAUAACCUACCUAUAAGACUGGGAUAACUUCGGGAAACCGGAGCUAAUACCGGAUAAUAUUUUGAACCGCAUGGUUCAAAAGUGAAAGACGGUCUUGCUGUCACUUAUAGAUGGAUCCGCGCUGCAUUAGCUAGUUGGUAAGGUAACGGCUUACCAAGGCAACGAUGCAUAGCCGACCUGAGAGGGUGAUCGGCCACACUGGAACUGAGACACGGUCCAGACUCCUACGGGAGGCAGCAGUAGGGAAUCUUCCGCAAUGGGCGAAAGCCUGACGGAGCAACGCCGCGUGAGUGAUGAAGGUCUUCGGAUCGUAAAACUCUGUUAUUAGGGAAGAACAUAUGUGUAAGUAACUGUGCACAUCUUGACGGUACCUAAUCAGAAAGCCACGGCUAACUACGUG
rnacentral:rRNA from 1 species